UGGGGAAUAUUGGACAAUGGGGGGCAACCCUGAUCCAGCAAUGCCGCGUGUGUGAAGAAGGUUUUCGGAUUGUAAAGCACUUUCGACGGGGACGAUGAUGACGGUACCCGUAGAAGAAGCCCCGGCUAACUUCGUGCCAGCAGCCGCGGUAAUACGAAGGGGGCUAGCGUUGCUCGGAAUGACUGGGCGUAAAGGGCGUGUAGGCGGUUUGUACAGUCAGAUGUGAAAUCCCCGGGCUUAACCUGGGAGCUGCA
rnacentral:rRNA from 1 species